GGAGCGGACGCGGCAGUCCGUCCUGCCUUUUAGCCCAGGAUGACCGGGUGGGGCUGUGCGCGCGCCUUUGAGUCAUCCAGCCAGUUUUAAUGAUGUUUUACUGCUGACGCGACUCUGAUGCUUCAGAGAGGAAUGCGGCUUAAGCCAGGGGCAGGUACCUGUAUAAAAUUUAUGUAUAAGUAGCUUAUUUUGAAAUCAGUCCAACAGGGAUAGCUUUCAGUGUUCCUAAGUCCCCAUAGUGCUAUGGAAGCCUAAUAGAGGAUGCGAGUGAUGCUGCAUCGCUCUCUAUUGUACCGUGUUUCCUUCAUUCAAUAGAUUCUCCCUUUAUAUUUCUAUCCGUUCAGGUGUUUGUCUGUAUUUUCAGCCAGGAUAGGCGCUAAGUAUCAGAACCAUGAGAAGGACCUGCGCUGGUGGCACUGAAAUGCUAGUGACUGACGCAGGCAGUCGGCAACUAAUUAUGCACUGUGUAAGUGAAAUUAUAAUUCUAGGAGAAAAGCACAGAGGGCUAUGACAAAACAUAAUGGAGACACCUGACCUCAUUGGGUUUUGUUUUGCUUUUGAAUGGGACGCAUGUCUCCUGGGCUCAAGAAGCUUAUCAUUAGAAACCCCCAGAAAGCCAGAAAUCUCACUUUGCUUUGCAUAGCUGGCACAAAUAUUUCCUGAAGGAAUAAAUGGGUACAUAAAUUAAUAGAAUACCUAAUUCUUUUAGGAAGCAUGUUGUUUUUCAAAGUACUUUUCCAUAUAUUAUCUAAUUGGAAAAUCACAAAUGCCCUCUUACUGGGGACACACCUGCAUUGCUAGCACACGGGAGGCUAAAGCAGCAGGUUUGCCAUGAGUUUGAGGCCAGCCUGGGCUACACAGUGAGUCCAAGGCCAACCUGAACUACAUAGGAAGAGCCUAUUUCCCAAAAAGAAAAGAAAUUAAGCACAUUGGGAAAAAUGUGCAGCCUUUUAAUAUGCAAGCAUAGAAGGUGUCUCUUUGGUGUCUGAGUUUAGGAGCUAGGAAAAGAGCUGUGACCAGAAUCAGAGGAGGUGUCCAGGUACAAGGCAGACUCCCCAGAGCACUGGCAUUUGUUAAGCGAGAGAUGCUUGCUGCUGCUGAGUCCUUCACCACAGCCUGAGGCUGAGGGCCUGGAGGAUGGGCAGCAAAGGGUGACAGACAGUGGACAUGGAGUCAGGAGACCUCCAGUCUGUUUCAACUUGGCCACUCAUCAGCCUUGUGACCUUGAGCAAUGCAUGUUGCCUUCCUGGGCUUUUUGCCUCAAUCAGAAUGCAGCGGCUUGGAUCUAAUGUGAACCCCAGGGGUAUGUAGGUUUGGUAAGAGAUUGGCAGGGGUGAGCUCUGGGGACUGAGUAACCCAAAAGGUACUAAGAAAAAGCCCUGGGCUGGCUGGAGGAGGUGUGAGGAAACUGAGUGUCUCUGAAAGGACAGCAGAGGAAAGGAGUCACCGAGGGUGACCUUGAGCUGAAGAUGGUGUGGGCAGAAGCGAGGGCCAAGUGAGUAUUCAUUCAGCAAACAUCUGAGGACGGCUUACUACACCAUAGACGCUGUGCUGGGCACAGUGGAACGAUAAGAACGAGCUCCCCCAUCCUCACUGCUCAGGAGCAGGCAGCCAUGUCCAGGCCCUUCAAAGAACAGGAUGUGGCCAGGUUGUGGGUCCCAUGGCUGCAGGGCAGCAGGAGGCCUCAAGUGAGAUGGGCCUCUAGGUUUGUUGUGUAGGAAAGGAUUAGGGCCCAAGUAAGGCAGGUGCCAAAGAGACUGAUUCCAGAUCAUAGUGAACUUUAAAGGUUCAAGUAACAUUCUCUGUUUUGUAUUGUGAAAAAUGCAGCCAACUGAAGAAUUUCAAAGAGGUAGCAGUGUGGGAUGAGUGAUGGCAGAGAGACCCCUCAAGAUAUCAUAGCAAUAACAAGGGGUGGCAUGCUGGAGGCAGACCUGUGGAGUUCUGAUGCACAAUUAGAUGUAGGCAGCAUGAUGUGAGGAUAAGAGCCAUCAUGAGGCCCAGUGCUCCAUCUAGGUGCCUGGGAGGUUACAAUGCCAUGUCACACCUAAAGAGAGGGAAGACCCUUCUCAGUAAGCAUUAGAGACACAGACAGAGAGAACAAAAGGAGGAAUAGCUGGAGUCGGUGGAGAGUGGGAUGAAUUUUGUCUUGAACUCAUUACAUUUGGAAAACCUGUGGAAGACCUAAGUUUAAAAAAAAGUCAUUUUUAACCACAGAGGUUAGAAAUGUGGGGUUCAGGGGCCAGCCCUAGGGAAGUCACCUGCACACAGUUUUAUUGAAGGAUGGGUUGAAAGUGCCUGUGGCGUCCAAGUAUGUGAAAGAGAGACUUGGUCAAGCAAGCAGGCCAGGGCAACAGCUAGAAAAGGAGCUCCGGGAAAGGAAACCGGAAAGAAGCGGCCACAGAAGGAAGCCGUGCAGAAGAGGAUGGAUGGGGUCAAGGCAGGGAGAGGAGACUUUCACAGGUGGGCGAACCUGGAACCUGUGGUGUUGAAUGUGGCAAAGGAUCGAGGGGCAGAGAGGCUGAGAGGAGACCACUGUGUGGUGGGCGGGGAGCCACAGGUGAGCGGCCGGCUCACAGGUCAGCCAGACUUUCCCUGGCAGAAAGCAUGUGACCAUUCUUCAGACACAAAAUAUUUUUCCUGAGAGACACCAAAGCAACGGCAGUCUUUUUCCAUAAAUAAAACUAGAGGAGAAAAAUAUAACUUGGGGAGAAACUUUCUGAAAGAAAAGUUUUCCUUGUGCUGGCACCGAUCUUAUGAAAAGCAAAAUUCCAUUCAUCAAACAUUGUGUUUUAUUUUUUGAAUGCAAGAAGAUACAUGUGUAGUGUCAACACUUUCCAGUAUUUGUAGUGAAUUAAAAUUUACAACAACAUAAGGAAAGAAGAUUCAGUUAGCAUCAUUAGCUGCCAAAUACCGGUAGUUCUGGGCCUUGUGUCUCUACCUGUUUGCUUUCAUGUGUUUAGGGCUGCUCAGGUAGGUGAGCCACUCACUUUACACAGCGAGACCUGGCACUCAGAGCAGGUGGCAGUUGUCAUUACCCAGAAACUCCAUGUACUGGGACAUUUGUGCUCCCAGUCUUGGAGACAAACCCCGUGUCCCAGCCUCUCUGCACUCUGCGUGCGGAUAUCCAGUGACUGAGGGCUGGCUGAUGGGCCAGAGCCCUGCCUGUUAGAAUACCGAGGGGGCUUCUGGGAAGUGUACUUAGAGCAGGAGCACACAGCUCAGGAGCGCCUUUGGUCUUCUGCUUUCCACGUUUUUGCACAGCACUGGCACAGCUGUAGCUCCUGCAUCCUUUUUAGACAACAAAGCGACUUCAGUGGGGACGGGUGUGGAGGGCAGGUGUGACACAGGACCACGACCCCUCGGAGGUGAGUCUGCAGGCCAAGCUUGGGCUGCCACAUCUGGACUUCUUCCCUGACAAAGUGGACUUGUACUUGUUUCAGCCGCUGCUGUUUGGGUUUUCUGUCACCGUGAUGGACCCUCAUCUUGCCACAGUACAACCUGAGUAUGCAGAGGAGCAAUUUCUCUAGGUUGCUAGGCCUGGUGCAUGUAUGGUGUCUAAACAAAAGUGUUAGUACUCUGAUACUCUUUUUCUCUAGCAUAUUUCAGAAGAGGUUAGACCAAUUGCCUGGACACAUGUAAUUGUUUAAGUAAUGCUGGUUUCAUUACAGCUAAAAUAACAGCCCAGAUGACUACACAUUUCCUCUUUUCUUUCUCUCUUAUUUUUGGCACAACCAGAACAAAUCUUUGUAAGACUUUGUGAAAUAAAAGACUGUCCCAAAAGCCGUCAGGUAGCUGAGUGAUAAUUUCCAAAUAACGAUUUUCAAUUUGUGUGAUGGGAAAUGGAGGGCGGGUUAGGAGAAGAAGCUGCAGGAGUCAGCUCCAGCCAUGAGACCCCCAACUCCCCAAAGCCAGGGUCUGGCGAUGAGUGAAUGCAGAGCGCUGAGGCCGGCGUCUUCCUGGAGCGCACCACGGUCGCCUCACGCCGGGCACCGUUUCCUGAAUCCUCCUGCAGACCUUUGCCUCAAUGGAGCCGUGACCUCCUGGACCCUCUCUUCCCCUCCCAUCUCUUUAUUCUUUUUUUAAUUUUAUUUUGAAAGUAGUUAAAAUGCAACAGCACAAGACAGAACAAAGCCAAUCGAGACAAUGCAGUGAAAUUGGUACAGGAUUUCACAGCAGGAUACUGGGAUAGUAGUAAUAGGUACUAUGGUAUAUCUCUUUAACUUCAUGAUAGUUGUCCAGUCAAUUAGAUAUAGCAAAGUCAAACCAAAAAUAGAACAUUAUAAAAACUAAUUGAGAAUACUGAAUAGAGCAAAAGAAACAUAACAAAACAAAACAGUGAAAACAACCUUUGCCUUCAAACAGAAGAUAGAAGGAAAUCCCCCAUAUUUGCUAUACUGCAUAUGAUCAUCCUCCCAAGAGAUGCUGAGACAUCCAUCCCCAGUAGCUUGGGGGGAGGGGGCGAGAGGGGGGAGGAUGCUUGAUUUUCAGCCCGCGUUGCAGUAGGCUCACAGGUAAUGGUUCUCCUUCUGACCCUCGCUGGGGCGGUUACCAAGAGGGCAGUGAAUAAGCUGCGUGAGUCCCACCAUGGCUGGAUCUCGAGAGUUCUGGUUCUCCUCCUGGCCCUCACCGCGGGUGCUUACCAAGAAGGCGGUGAAUAAGCUUCCAUCUCUUUACUUCUGGGUAUUUUGCUACCUUGUUAUCUUUCUUCUUCCCUGCAGUCCCUUCUUCAAAGUCACCUGAAUUAUCCCAGAUUCUCCUCUUUCAAUCACAAAAGGGUGUGUGACCUGUUCUCAGAAUCAUCAGCAAUAUCCUCCCCUCUUCUCAGUCAUCAGUCUCCAGCACUGGGCCCUGCUGGCCAUCCUCAGUGCCCCCUCCUGACCGAGCGCCCUGCUUCUGAUCCUGCAUCCUGCUCUUCUGUCAACCAGCACAUUGCCGCUAGAUUUGUCUUCCGUGGCAGAGGUCUGACCAUGUCACGCAGUAAAUCUUCCAAGGCACUUACAUUUAUUUUUCAUUCAUUCAUUCAAAGAUUGUUGUCCGAGCGUCCAUUAGGAGCCCUGAGAGGCUAGAGCCUCUGUGAGUGUAAGUAUGAGUGAUCUGGGGCUGGGGAUUUAGCUCAGUGGCAUAAGCGCCUGCCUUGCAAGUGUGCAGUCAUGAGUUUGAUCCCUGGUACCAAUAAAAACAAAAAAGACAAAAAAAAAUUAAGUAUGAAUGAUCAAGAAACACAGUGAAUGUCCUCAUGGGGUCAGACAUGGUCAUUGUCUCUGGGACAUGAGAUGUGGCAUGGUGGCAGGGAAGCCUAGGGAGGGCCUGAGGGACUUUAAACUUCCUCAAACUUCAUUUCCCCCAGAAAUACUGCUUAGUUUGCUCCAGAGCGAGGACCCUUGUUCCUCUUUUGCCUCAAGUCUCUGGGAGGUGGUGGGUGGGCAGAGGGGCUAUGUCCAUCUGCCCAGCUCCCCGGGAUGGGAUGAAUGGGAAACUUCACACCAGGGCACAGCUCCUGUAGGGCUUCGAUCUCUGCUCUUCCCUGCUAAAACUUUCCUAAGACGCUGGGUGUGGUUGGAGAGAUUUCCCUCAGUUCUGUUUAGUGUCCUCCAGGUCCUCCUCGUUCUGUCCUACACUGCCUGGCACCAGGCCGUCAGUGCCAACUGCCCUGCUGGCACCCGCCUCGUGGCCUGCACAGGCCAGCCUGAGUGUGUCUGCAGGGACACGUGGGGGAAAUGGAGGAGCUUGAGACCUCGUGUUAAGUGAAGUUAACCAAAUGCACAAGCUUCAUUGUCACGAGGUUUCUCUUAUAUGAGAAGCUCAGACUAUAAAUAAGGAGCAAAAUAAAAAACGGGUGACAGGAAGUGUGGAGAUAGAUGUUUCUCAGACAGGAAGGGAAUCAAGAGAUGAAAGAAAAAAGGAUGAGAAAGGAAUUAAGUCGUUCGUGGCAGCACAUAUACAAACACCACACAAGGAAUGGAACAUAGGUACUGAGACGUACUAAAAAUAAUAUAAAAAAUAAAAGCCACAGUCCAGAUUAGUACGUGGGACCUUCCUGCAGGAGUUGGUUUCUGAACAUCUGCUGUGUUCUCCUCUUUGUUCAGUAAUCCUUGAGGGUCCUUCAGAAACCAGCAUAAAAGGGCCUGAUUUCCUUCCUGAGCAAAGUGCAUCACCGCGGCUGGGACUGUUCUGAAAUUAACCUCGGCGGGCUGAGCUGCAUUUCCAAGGCCCCCACUAGGUGGCGGUAUCCUCAAGGGCAGGCGUUGUGACCUGCCUGCUCCAGGGACACUCUUCACUGCCUGCUGGGUUCCAUCUAGCCAGCCAUCCACACAAAAGCGUCACAGCUGUGUGCACUAACUCAGGUGGCAGACACAGGAAGUGGCCACUAUAAUUCCAUUUGGGAAGGCGUAAAGCACAGGAGGAGGACAGGUCACUGUGGGGACCAGGGAGGGCUCCCCCGGGAGGAUCAUCCACGCUGAGGCCAGAGGGCUUGGGAAAUGUGAGCCGGACACACGCAACAGCCAAGCUCACACUACAAAUGGCCGGCAGAAAAUCACAAUGGCUGACAGCCUUCAUGGAAACUCAGAGAGAUCAAGCCCCAAGUUACAAUGCACGUGGGAAAAACCGGAGGGGCCAGAGGCACUGCUUCAAAGACCAAAAGUCAAAGUAAACCGAAUCACCGACCUCACUGCAAAAUCAGUGUCCCAGAUGACCUCUGCAUCUAAAAAGACAGAAGACCAGCCACGCUUUCACAAGAAGAAUACUUCAUCUUUGCACACUCUAUCUUCUGUGUAUGUGACAUUGUACUGGACGCAGGCGUGGGAGAGCUUCAUCAUUUGAGUUAAAUCACAGUUAAAUCACAGUCAAACCUUUUGGAGAACAAUACUUUUGUAAGACCUCUCAUAUGUCUGGCAUCUCCAGCCCUCCCGGUCUCUGCUGCACUUCUGGCUUCUCUUUCACAACUUCAGGCACUGCCGUCCCAGGUACGCUGCCUGGCCUUCAAGCCUUCUCCUGAAAACUGGAUGGAAAGCCUCCAUGACUCUGUAACUCCUGGGUACUGUGUGGAUGAUGCCGGCGUCUGCUGCCAGCCUGAGGAUUAGCUAGUUAGGUCCUUUUGGAUCAUGGCUACAGCAGCUUCUGUGUGCCCAAAUGGUUAAACUCUCCCACUGUUGGCUCUGAAUGAUCUGGGCUCCCUACAGCUCUGCUCGCGAAGUAGUCUUUCAGUUUUGUACUUUUAAGCCUGCAAGUAAAAGAGCCUUGGUGAGUCUUGAAAUACCCUCAAAUCAUCUUUUAAAUUGUCCUGAUGCAAAGUGUUUGGCUUCUUUUUAACACUAAUCUUUUAAACAACCAAGCUCUCCAAGGCAUCAAACUUACAGGUUUUUCCUUUCUAAUAAAACUGUAGACUUUUGAAAUUACUCAGCUCUUCCAUUUUCUCCUGAUUGUCACCAUAAAUUUGGCUAAAAGCUGCAAGCAGUACCUAUACCACAUCCUAAAAGUGUUGAGCUGCCUUGAAAUUUCCUCCAUCAGAUUAAUUAGUCCACCACCUUCAAUCUCAGUCUUCUGGAAUCUCAGAACAUGAAUGUUAUGGCUUAUUUCUAGAUGUCCUCAAGGCCUCAUAUCCACAUGGGUUGGAUAUCAGCCUUCCCAGAGGUGGCUGAAACUAGGGUGUGUGAUACUGGAUUGAGGUUGUGUGGUUGUAAAUGGAUUUAACGUAGUUCUGGGUGAGCAUAGUGGAAGUCCCACUGGGUGUGGGUGUCACAAAUCAAUAGGCCUAAGUAGCCUGAGAGGAAUAUAAAGGGCUGCCAUGCUGCCUGCCACCUGUUGCCCUCUGAAUACUCUGCUAUGGACUGUUCCUCCCGUCAUGCCACCCUCCUUUGGAGCAGGCCGACUAUGGACUGAAACUUUACAAACUGUGAGCUGAAAUAAACCUUUCCUUAUUCAA